rnacentral:ncRNA from 2 species
AUAAUUAUAUAUGUUUAAGGUACCCAUCAUGGGUUUAAUAGGGAAAGCGGUGAAAAUCCGCCACAGCCCCCGCUACUGUGAGCGAAUACAAAAUGGUAUAUCCACUGAGAAUUUUCGGGAAGGGCCAUGGAGGUUAAGUCGUAAGUCAGGAGACCUGCCCAAUAAUACAUACAUCA